GCCUCUUGACUUAACCAUAAGAGGUCCAGCCUGCCCAGUGACAUUGUUCAACGGCCGCGGUAUCCUAACCGUGCGAAGGUAGCGUAAUCACUUGUCCUUUAAAUGAGGACUUGUAUGAACGGCCACACGAAAGCUAUGCUGUCUCCUUUUUCUAAUCAGUUAAACUAAUCUCCCCGUGAAGAAGCGAGGAUGAUCAUAUAAGACGAGAAGACCCUAUGGAGCUUUAAACAAUUGAAACACUUGUACCCAUCUUCCACACUUCCGACAGUCUACGCUUAAUUUUACACUUUGUUUCUAGCUUUAGGUUGGGGUGACCACGGAGAAAAAACAAACCUCCACGCUGAAAGAGUUAGUCUCUAAACAAAAAGCUACAUCUUUAAGUAUUAAUACAUUAACCUGAAUUGACCCAAUAAAUUGAUCAACGAACCAAG
rnacentral:rRNA from 1 species